AUAUUUGUGUAGCUGAAAAAAAAGGUUGAAGAAUUACAAGGGAUCCUGUAAAUAGAGACGAAGGAAAAUGGCCGAUGAUCCAAAGGAUUGCCAGAGACAGUAGUGCCAUGCUGAAGAAGCUAACGAGUAAAAUGGGACCAAAGAUUGGACCUAACAGAAGCAGAAAGAGCAACAGAACUGUGCUGGCAAUUGUUGCCGAUAUUAUAGUGUAUGAUAGGAUCGCGAUUACAAAGAAAUAUCCAAUGAAUUUGUAGUAAGAGUUUCGUAUCUUUCUUGACC
rnacentral:rRNA from 15 species